rnacentral:rRNA from 1 species
AACUUUCAGCAACGGAUCUCUGGCUCUCGCAUCGAUGAAGGACGCAGCGAAUCGCGAUAAGUAAUGUGAAUUGCAGAUUUUCCGUGAAUCAUCGAAUCUUUGAACGCACCUUUGGCUCCUUGGA